rnacentral:lncRNA from 1 species
UUAAAUUUAGUUUUUAUUGUAAUGAUCUCAUGUUUUUCGCGUCACUGAUGAAUUUUUUUUGGUUUUUGUUUUUUGUUCUUUUUUCUCGGUUAUUCGAGAACCUUAUCUUUUGUUUUGGUUCGUAACUUAUUUUGUUGCUUUUAGUGAUGAGGCCUAUGUUCUAGGGUUUUCUUUGGGUUCUUUUAGUGUAAGAACAUGGAGAUCUGUUGCGUCACUUCGUUUGUUUGCAUUCGUUGUUGGUUUCAUGCUAAUUUAAUGUAUGGCAUGUCUAGGUGCUUCUGUCCAAGUACUUUUUCUAUUUGUAAUUACUCCUUAUUUAUGAAAUAUCUACUUUCCCUUGUUUUUCCUUUCAUUCAAUUAGAGUUAAUAUUGCGAGUUCAAUUUACCUGAUCUAUGAUACGUGACACUUUGGGAUUGAACUGACUUAUUUAUAAUUUAUUCAUUUGCAGAAGUUUGGGUUGAGUAUCCUUUAUUGAGAAACCUUGGCUCAUAAGAAGUUUAAAGCUAAUAUCUGUGCGCAAGAUUGGAAAUCUUUUAAAGAGUUCCAGAGCGGUGGUGAAGUUGACUUGGACUGCAUUUAAUUGCUCAAUUUUAUUUUCUUAUAUAUAAUCAGGGCUGUUCUCUUUGUCGGUGCUAAAUGGGGAUCUUUGAAGAAAUGGGUUUCUGUGGUAAUCUUGAUUUCCUUUCGGCUCCUCCUGGGGAAGGAGAGGCAGCUCCAGAGCAUGACCCAGAGGCAACAGCAGAGGAGGAUAAUAGUGAUGAAGAAAUGGAUGUUGAUGAGCUUGAGAGGAGGAUGUGGAGAGAUCGGAUGCUAUUGAAGCGACUUAAAGAACAAAGUAAGGGAAAGGAAGGAGUUGACAAUGCAAGGCAGCGUCAAUCACAGGAACAAGCUCGGAGGAAGAAGAUGUCGCGGGCACAAGAUGGAAUCCUGAAAUAUAUGCUGAAAAUGAUGGAAGUUUGCAAAGCUCAGGGUUUUGUUUAUGGGAUUAUCCCGGAAAAAGGAAAACCAGUGAGUGGUGCAUCUGACAAUCUUCGAGAGUGGUGGAAGGAAAAAGUAAGGUUUGAUCGUAAUGGCCCGGCUGCAAUUUCCAAGUAUCAGGCAGAUCAUUCAAUCCCUGGGAAAAAUGAAGACUGCAGUGCGGUGGCAUCCACUCCUCACACCUUACAGGAGCUCCAAGACACAACUCUUGGUUCCCUUUUGUCAGCUUUGAUGCAGCACUGUGAUCCACCCCAAAGACGUUUUCCAUUGGAGAAGGGUGUUGCCCCACCUUGGUGGCCUACUGGUAAUGAGGAAUGGUGGCCUCAAUUAAAUUUACCAAAGGAUCAGGGUCCUCCCCCAUACAAGAAGCCUCAUGAUUUGAAGAAGGCUUGGAAGGUGAGUGUUCUCACGGCUGUGAUAAAGCACAUGUCACCUGAUAUUUCCAAGAUCCGCAAGCUUGUUCGUCAGUCUAAAUGUUUGCAGGACAAAAUGACUGCCAAGGAGAGUGCUACUUGGCUAGCCAUUAUAAACCAGGAGGAAGCUUUGGCCCGGAGGUUGUAUCCUGAUAGAUGUCCCCCUCCAUCAGCUGUUGGGAGUGGGUCUUUUACAAUCAGCGGUACCAGUGAUUAUGAUGUUGAAGGGGUGGAUGAUGAACAAAAUGUUGAAGUAGAGGAUUGCAAACCUCUUGUUAAUCACUUCAAUAUUGGAACAGCUGGACAAAGAGAGAGGAUGGUACCUCAGAUUAAGGGAGAGCUGAUUGAGACCAACUCAGACUUUGGUCAGAAGAGGAAGCAGCUGGCCGAAGAGCCACAGAUGAUGCUAAAUCAGAAGAUUUACACCUGUGAAUACCCCCAAUGCCCAUAUCAUGAUUGCCGCCUAGGCUUUCUUGACAUAACUGCAAGAAACAAUCACCAGUUGAAUUGUGCAUACCGGGGUAAUUCUUCACAAGUGUUUGGAAUGUCAGGCUUUCAUCUUAACAACGACAAACCUGUGGGCUUCUCUCUACCCAUUACUCAACCUAAGCCAGCUAUUCAACAACCAGUGAACCAGACAAGUAGUUUUAAUGCUUCAGGACUUGGACUAGCCGAGGAUGGGCAGAAAAUGAUAUCUCAACUGAUGUCAUUCUAUGAUAGUAAUGUUCAGCAGAACAAGAACUCAAAUCCUGGAAACCUCAAUGUUGUCGAAGACCACAACCAGCAGCAGGUGAAAUUUCAAUUUCCAAUGGAGGAUAACUUCUAUGGUCAAGGGCUGGUUAUAGGACGCAACAUGUCUGAACCGACCUCCUUGCCUAUGCUUCAUUCAGUUUUCC